AGGCAUGUUGGGAUUCUGCUCAUGAGUCUUAUAGCGACGCUUGUGCUGUUGCUGCUUGUUUCUCUUGUUGUAAUAGUAACCUGGAGGCUGAGAAAGAAGCCAAAGAGGGGUCACAUUAGAGAAGAACAUUUUAACAGCACCAGUAAUACAACGCCCUCUGAAAACCAGAUGACAUCCAGCAGUUCAGCAGCUGCUACUUCUUCUGCCUCAGUGGAUGACAAUUUAGUGACUUACAGUUCUGUGAUCUUUAAUAAGGCAAGUUUAUCAUCAGUGGAUCCAGAGGGUCAUGUGAUCUACAGCUCUGUGAAAAAAACUUGCAAGGCUGUGAGUUUAUAACAUACACACCCUGCUCCUUCUUAAUAAAGUUAUGAGCAAAUGAAAGUAAAUCAUUGUAAAUUAGUAAUAAUUCAUAAUUAUAUUUGUACCAUUUCAGUUUUAGUUAGUGUAAACCUGUUAACUGUCACCCUCCUUUUUGAACAUAGAAAUGAAAAUGCACUAUCCAAACAUAAAUGGCUGUAAUUCAUGAAUGCUUUGGAACAAGAUGGUUGCCAAAUAUGGAACCUUGAGUCUCAGACCUUUCCAAAGAUAUUUAGAUUGUAAAAUAAAUGCACUAAAUUUGUAAUAUGAAACAUGACACCACCCAUUAGGGGGAGGAGCCUGCUAAAAGGAUUUAAAGGGAUAGUUCACCCAAAAAUGACAAUUCUGUCAUCAUUUAUUCACCCUCAAGUUGUUCUAAACCUGUAUGAGUUCCUUUCUGCUGCUAAACUGUCACAGUUCCCUUGUCUCCCGGACUCCAUUUCCCAUGAUCCUCCUGUCUCCACAGCUGCACUCACUUCCCUCGUCAUCUCCCCAUCAGCACUCAUCACCUGCACCUGGACUUCCUCAUUAGCACUCCCUAUAUAAUGGACUCACUCCCUUCACUCCCUGUCCGUUCUUAAUGUUAUGUUGUUGUGGUAAUGUGUGUUACGUUGUUCUAUAUUCCAGUAUUUCCAUUAAAGCCUAUUGUUUGUGGAUCUCCGUACUCGCUUCAUCUCUCCUGCAUACACCCACUGUAACAUGAACACAAAAGAAGAUAUUUUGAAUAAUGUAAUCAAACAGUUGUGGGGCACCACUGACUUCCAUAAUAUGGAGGGGGAAAAAAAAUACAAUGUCAAUGGUGCCCCACAACUGUUUUGUUAACUAUACCUUUAAAGUACUGUUUUCAUUGUAACACAAUGUCUGAUUUGAACCAGAUGAAUACUGAGGGUUUAAAAUUUAUGAUGAUUAAUAAAAUAUGUGAUACAAUAGGCAAUUAAAAAGAGCACCAAGCAUUCC